rnacentral:lncRNA from 1 species
CCCUUUGUAAUCUGCAUUCCCCAACUGGGUCUUGCUUCUCUAGUGUUUCUUUUCGCUAGGGUUGGUUUAAUUUCACAUAAUACUGACUUGUUUCUACAGUUGGGUGCUCUUAGAUCUCAAAUUCACUUCUGUUCUUCGUUUUGUAGUUCUUAAUUGUCACUCAAUGUCACAAGGCUAUGCAAUUGAGCUCUACUUCGAUCCAGCCCUUGAAGACCAGGUUUUGAAGGCCUGGAACGUGCUAGCGCGUCGCCACAUCAGUACCCUUAGGUGGGA